AGUGAACGCUAGCGGUGCGCCUAACACAUGCAAGUCGAGUGUGCUCGCAAGAGUAACACGGCAGACGGCUGCGUAACACGUUGGUACCUGCCCCAGACUCAGGGAUAACCCCGCGAAAGCGGGGCUAAUACCGGAUGGUCCCGAAAGGGUAAAGAUUUUUCGGUCUGGGAGGGGCCUGCGGCCUACCAGAUAGUUGGUGAGGUAACGGCUUACCAAGUCGAUGACGGGUAGCUGGUUUGAGAGAACGACCAGCCAGAAUGGAACUGAGACACGGUCCAGACUCCUACGGGAGGCAGCAGUGGGGAAUAUUGCACAAUGGGCGAAAGCCCGAUGCAGCGACGCCGCGUGAGGGAUGACGGCCUUCGGGUUGUAAACCUCUUUCAGCAGGGAAGAUAAUGACGGUACCAGCAGAAGAAGCCCCGGCUAACUCCGUGCCAGCAGCCGCGGUAA
rnacentral:rRNA from 1 species